rnacentral:rRNA from 1 species
GAUGAACGCUAGCUACAGGCUUAACACAUGCAAGUCGAGGGGCAGCGGGAUUGAAGCUUGCUUCAAUUGCCGGCGACCGGCGCACGGGUGAGUAACGCGUAUCCAACCUUCCGCUUACUCGGGGAUAGCCUUUCGAAAGAAAGAUUAAUACCCGAUGGUAUCUUAAGCACGCAUGAGAUUAAGAUUAAAGAUUCAUCGCUGAUAGAUAGGCAUGCGUUCCAUUAGGCAGUUGGCGGGGUAACGGCCCACCAAACCGACGAUGGAUAGGGGUUCUGAGAGGAAGGUCCCCCACAUUGGUACUGAGACACGGACCAA